rnacentral:rRNA from 1 species
UACGGAGGAUGCGAGCGUUAUCCGGAUUUAUUGGGUUUAAAGGGUGCGCAGGCGGCACGGCAAGCCGGCGGUCAAAUCGCGGGGCUCAACCCCGCCCAGCCGUCGGAACUGCCGGGCUAGAGUGGGCGAGAAGUGCGCGGAAUGCGUGGUGUAGCGGUGAAAUGCAUAGAUAUCACGCAGAACUCCGAUUACGAAGGCAGCGCACCGGCGCCCUACUGACGCUCAGGCACGAAAGCGUGGGUAUCGAACAGG